rnacentral:rRNA from 1 species
GACAGAGGGUGCAAACGUUGUUCGGAAUUACUGGGCGUAAAGCGCGUGUAGGCGGCUAAGUAAGUCGGGCGUGAAAUCCCACGGCUCAACCGUGGAAGUGCACUCGAAACUGCAUAGCUAGAGCCUGGAGAGGAAGGUGGAAUGCUUGGUGUAGAGGUGAAAUUCGUAGAUAUCAAGCGGAACACCGGUGGCGAAGGCGGCCUCUGGACAGUGACUGACGCUGAGACGGCGAAA